rnacentral:misc_RNA from 1 species
GAGAAGAACGCAGCGAAAUGCGAUAAGUAAUGUGAAUUGCAGAAUUCCGUGAAUCAUCGAAUCUUUGAACGCACAUUGCGCCCCUCGGUAUUCCGGGGGGCAUGCCUGUCCGAGCGUCAUUGCAACCUUCAAGCGCGGCUUGUGUGUUGGGCCUCGUCCCCCGUGGACGGGCCUGAAAGGCAGUGGCGGCGCCCGAAUCCGGUGCCCGAGCGUAUGGGGCUUCGUCACCCGCUCUUGUAGGCCCGGCCGGCGCUUGCCGACACAUCAAUCUUUUUUCCAGGUUGACCUCGGAUCAGGUAGGGAUACCCGCUGAACUUAAGCAUAUCAAUAAGCGGAGGA